rnacentral:rRNA from 1 species
UUGAUCCUGGCUCAGGAUGAACGCUAGCGGCAGGCUUAACACAUGCAAGUCGAGGGGUAUUGGUUUUCGGACCAAGAGACCGGCGCACGGGUGCGUAACGCGUAUGCAAUCUACCUUUCACAGAGGGAUAGCCCAGAGAAAUUUGGAUUAAUACCUCAUAGUAUUAUAGAGUGGCAUCACUUUAUAAUUAAAGUCACAACGGUGAAAGAUGAGCAUGCGUCCCAUUAGCUAGUUGGUAAGGUAACGGCUUACCAAGGCUACGAUGGGUAGGGGUCCUGAGAGGGAGAUCCCCCACACUGGUACUGAGACACGGACCAGACUCCUACGGGAGGCAGCAGUGAGGAAUAUUGGACAAUGGGCGCAAGCCUGAUCCAGCCAUGCCGCGUGCAGGAUGACGGUCCUAUGGAUUGUAAACUGCUUUUGUACAGGAAGAAACAGUUCUACGUGUAGAACCUUGACGGUAUCGUAAGAAUAAGGAUCGG